CGCACAUGGCGCCUUCCAGUAUCCUGGGAGGCAUGCCUGUCCGAGCGUCGUUUCAACCCUCGAGCCCCCGUGGCCCGGCGUUGGGGAUCUGCCACGGCAGGCCCCUAAAACCAGUGGCGGACCCGAAGGGCCCUCUCCUUUGCGCAGUAGCAUCAGCCUCGCAUCGGGAGCCCUCGGCGUCCUGCCUCCAAACCCCCCCCGCAAGCCCGCCCAGCGGCACCAAGGUUGACCUCGGAUCAGGUAGGAAUACCCGCUGAACUUAA
rnacentral:misc_RNA from 1 species